GUAAACUUUCGUGUCCUGUCGUACCGAUAGCUUCUUUAAAAACUCAGCUAAUAUCUCAAAGAGGUUUAGUCUUUCCGAAACAUUAGUCGGAAUUGUAGUGCGCGUCGGAAAAUAAUUAAUUAAAUUGUAAAUAUUCAACAUUCCAAUCUCCACUCAUGACGACUUCAAUUCUGAGUACAAACAGUAUGGAAUACUUCAUAAUGUUCUGGAUAUUUGCAGUUGAUCAUGAAUACAUGAUCCCAUAUUAUAGUAACAAGAGUGUCUUCAAACAGAUAAGUAAACGUCUAAAGUACCUACUUCACCUUGACGUAUACAAUGUACAAUGGCGGGCUAAG